UCAGGACGAACGCUGGCGGCGUGCCUAACACAUGCAAGUCGAGCGGGGACAUGCGACGGAGGCGAAGUACUCGUACGGAGUCAAAGAUGUAAUGUCUAGCGGCGGACGGGUGAGUAACGCGUGAGCAACCUGUCCCUUACAGGGGGAUAACACAGCGAAAGUUGUACUAAUACCGCAUGAGACCACAGCAUCACAUGGUGCAGGGGUCAAAGGAGCAAUCCGGUAAGGGGUGGGCUCGCGUCCGAUUAGAUAGUUGGUGAGGUAGCGGCCCACCAAGUCGACGAUCGGUAGCCGACCUGAGAGGGUGAUCGGCCACAUUGGGACUGAGACACGGCCCAAACUCCUACGGGAGGCAGCAGUGGGGAAUAUUGGGCAAAUGGGGGAAACCCUGACCCAGCAACGCCGCGUGAGGGAAGAAGGUUUUCGGAUCGUAAACCUCUGUCCCAGGUGAAGAGGAAGAGACGGUAGCCUGGGAGGAAGCCCCGGCUAACUACGUGCCAGCCGCGGC
rnacentral:rRNA from 1 species